GCGGAGGAAAAGAAACCAACCGGGAUUGCCUCAGUAACGCGAGUGAAGCGGCAAGAGCUCAAAUUUGAAAUCUGGCCCCUCCGGGGUCCGAGUUGUAAUUGCAGAGGAUGCUUCGGGUGCGGCCCCUGUCUAAGUGCCCUGGAACGGGCCGUCAGAGAGGGUGAGAAUCCCGUCUUGGGCAGGGUGCCCGUGCCCGUGUGAAGCUCCUUCGACGAGUCGAGUUGUUUGGGAAUGCAGCUCUAAAUGGGUGGUAAAUUUCAUCUAAAGCUAAAUACCGGCCGGAGACCGAUAGCGCACAAGUAGAGUGAUCGAAAGAUGAAAAGCACUUUGAAAAGAGAGUUAAACAGCACGUGAAAUUGUUGAAAGGGAAGCGCUUGCGACCAGACUCGGCCCCGGGGUUCAGCCAGCACUCGUGCUGGUGUACUUCCCCGGGGGCGGGCCAGCGUCGGUUUGGGCGGCCGGUCAAAGGCCCCAGGAAUGUGUCGCCCUCCGGGGCGUCUUAUAGCCUGGGGUGCAAUGCGGCCAGCCCGGACCGAGGAACGCGCUUCGGCACGGACGCUGGCGUAAUGGUCGCAAACGACCCGUCUUGAAACACGGACCAAGGAGUCUAACAUCUACGCGAGUGUUCGGGUGUCAAACCCGUACGCGCAGUGAAAGCGAACGGAGGUGGGAGCCCCGCAAGGGGCGCACCAUCGACCGAUCCUGAUGUCUUCGGAUGGAUUUGAGUAAGAGCGUAGCUGUGGGGACCCGAAAGAUGGUGAACUAUGCCUGAAUAGGGCGAAGCCAGAGGAAACUCUGGUGGAGGCUCGCAGCGGUUCUGACGUGCAAAUCGAUCGUCAAAUUUGGGUAUAGGGGCGAAAGA
rnacentral:rRNA from 1 species